rnacentral:misc_RNA from 1 species
GAUGAAGACGUAGCGAAAUGCGAUAAGUAAUGUGAAUUGCAGAAUUCAGUGAAUCAUCGAAUCUUUGAACGCACAUUGCGCCCGCCAGCAUUCUGGCGGGCAUGCCUGUUCGAGCGUCAUUUCAACCCUCGAGCCCCCCCCGGGGGCCUCGGUGUUGGGGGACGGCACACCAGCCGCCCCCGAAAUGCAGUGGCGACCCCGCCGCAGCCUCCCCUGCGUAGUAGCACACACCUCGCACCGGAGCGCGGAGGCGGUCACGCCGUAAAACGCCCAACUUUCUUAGAGUUGACCUCGGAUCAGGUAGGAAUACCCGCUGAACUUAAGCAUAUCAAUAAGCGGAGGA